rnacentral:rRNA from 1 species
CCUACGGGUGGCACCAGUGGGGAAUAUUGCACAAUGGGCGCAAGCCUGAUGCAGCCAUGCCGCGUGUAUGAAGAGGGCCUUCGGGUUGUAAAGUACUUUCAGAGGGGAGGAAGGCGAUAAGGUUAAUAACCUUGUCGAUUGACGUUACCCGCAGAAGAAGCACCGGCUAACUCCGUGCCAGCAGCCGCGGUAAUACGGAGGGUGCAAGCGUUAAUCGGAAUUACUGGGCGUAAAGCGCACGCAGGCGGUCUGUCAAGUCGGAUGUGAAAUCCCCGGGCUCAACCUGGGAACUGCAUUCGAAACUGGCAGGCUAGAGUCUUGUAGAGGGGGGUAGAAUUCCAGGUGUAGCGGUGAAAUGCGUAGAGAUCUGGCGGAAUACCGGUGGCGAAGGCGGCCCCCUGGACAAAGACUGACGCUCAGGUGCGAAAGCGUGGGGAGCAAACAGGCUUAGAUACCCUCGUAGUC